GAGUUCUAAAGACUCCCAACCAUUGUGAAAUACCCGUCAGCGUUGCUUCGGCGGGCGUCCCCUCCCUGGGGACGCUGCCCUUCGGGGUGCCCGCCGGUGCUCACGAAACUCUUUUGUAUUUUAGUGGCCUCUCUGAGAAAACAAGCAAAUAAGUUAAAACUUUCAACAACGGAUCUCUUGGUUCUGGCAUCGAUGAAGAACGCAGCGAAAUGCGAUAAGUAAUGUGAAUUGCAGAAUUCAGUGAAUCAUCGAAUCUUUGAACGCACAUUGCGCCCGCCAGUACUCUGGCGGGCAUGCCUGUUCGAGCGUCAUUUCAACCCUCAAGCCCUGCUUGGUGUUGGGGUCCUACGGCUGCCGUAGGCCCUGAAAGCUAGUGGCGGGCUCGCUACAACUCCGAGCGCAGUAAUAUAUCUCGCUAGGGAAGUGUUGCGGGUUCCGGCCGUUAAACCCCCCAAUUUUACAAGGUUGACCUCGGAUCAGGUAGGAAUACCCGCUGAACUUAAGCAUAUC
rnacentral:rRNA from 1 species